rnacentral:rRNA from 1 species
CCUACGGGAGGCAGCAGUGAGGAAUAUUGGUCAAUGGGCGCGAGCCUGAACCAGCCAAGUAGCGUGCAGGAUGACUGCCCUACGGGUUGUAAACUUCUUUUAUGAGGGAAUAAAGUGAGUCACGUGUGCCUUUUUGUAUGUACUUUAUGAAUAAGGACCGGCUAACUCCGUGCCAGCAGCCGCGGUAAUACGGAGGAUCCGAGCGUUAUCCGGAUUUAUUGGGUUUAAAGGGAGCGUAGGUGGGUUGUUAAGUCAGUUGUGAAAGGUUGCGGCUCAACCGUAGCAUUGCAAUUGAUACUGGCAGGCUUGAGUGCAGGUGAGGUAGGCGGAAUUCGUGGUGUAGCGGUGAAAUGCUUAGAUAUCACGAAGAACUCCGAUUGCGAAGGCAGCUUACUAAACUGCCACUGACGUUGAGGCUCGAAAGUGUGGGUAUCAAACAGGAUUAGAUACCCCGGUAGUC